GCCAUUAAUCUACGAAAUCGACCACACGGUGUAGACAAGGAAGCAGAAUCGAAUGAGUAAGAAGGAAGCAACGCAGGGAAGAUGGCGUUGCAAAAUGUGGUGAGCCGACACGAGGGUUCGACAGGACUUGGCUUUCAGUCGCAGCUCGGCAGUCUGUACGAGACAAUCGAGUUACACUUACUACGCUGUGCAGUUUAUGUAUAUAUCGCGUUCGGUAUAUGUAUUAGUGUUCAUAGGCGCAGUCUCCGCGUGUGUACGAGUAACCGAUACGCCGGACGAAUUGACACACGCGCAGCAAUGGCGUACCCCUUUGAAGAAGCCUGAACGUGUUCUCUGUCGUCGAAUAUUCCUUUGUGCUGCUGUGUGUGCUGUGUGUAAGAAAGACAGAUAAUUCAAGUAAAAAAUGGAACAUGUAAGCCAAUGAUAGAAUUGCGAAACGACGUCGGCGUAUUAGGGUGUUUCAGCCUUGCCGAAACGAACAACCGAACGAAACGUUACGCCCAGCCGGAUCACGUCUAAGCCGUAUUACUGAGUCUGAUACACCAUUUGGUUUAGCGUUCUCACGAAUGUAGUUUGAAACUUUAUCAACGAAAACGUGCGGCCGAAGAGGAAAUUCACUAAAGUGAAAAUAUGGCAUCAUUUAAAUGGAAACACAAUACACCUAUGUAACACCCGGAAUGACACAUACAAACGGCUUGUGAUAAAGUGAAGUAGAUUAAUCCUAUGUAACAAGAGAUUGCAAGGAAAGGGGAGGAUAAAAUACGUAUUCAUAAAAAGAAAACGGAAUAAUUUGGAGGUAGGGACGAAAGAUCGAAGAAAAAUACAUCGAGAAAUUAAAGAUCAUAAAAAGGAAAGGUCGGUGUUGCAAGGAAGCCGGUGUCGAACGAGUCAGGGCCGGUGGUGUUUGAAUUUAUGGUCGGUUGUAAGCUCUUUACCUAGGACUCUUUCUCUUCCCUCUUUCGAAAUAUGCGAUAACCAUUUCAUUGCUGUACAUUGCGGGCUUCUGCCUCGAGGGCUUUCCUCGGUGUUGGAUAUAAUAGCUGAUUGGUCCAACCCCUGGAUAAGGCAACCCUCUUUCACUGCGAUGAACCGUAACCAUUCUUUCUCGCCUCGUUUCAAGGUAUGUCUGUGACAGCGUGGAAUGCUAUAAUCAUUAAGACAAUCGCACAGGUAAAUGCGAUUCGAAAGGAGAUAGAAAACAAAGCGAGAAGCGAAGUCUAGGAAAGAAGAGGAGGAAGAAGAAGAAAGAAAAGAAAGGGGUUAGUUGAGGAAAGGAAGGAAAAGCAAAAAGUGCCGGAGGAUCGCGAACUCGCGUCUCCGGCUGUGUAACAAAAGAUCGGGUAAUCUCAACGCUGGGCGAGACGGAGAGCAAAGGAUCGUGGUCGUCAUCGGGGAGAAUAAUCACGAGGAUCCCACGAAAUGAGAGCCUAGCGUUCGAGGUGGGUCGUUGGUCAGCGGGCGUGCAAGAAGGGACGGUUCGGCGACGGAAGCCUGGAUAGUAGGAGGUUUCCAACAUGGCCGCUGCCUGCUACGAAAAGGAAGUGGUGGUAGGUGCCGCUAUGCAUGGACACGGUCAUCACCAUCACCACCACCAUCAUCAUCACCAUCACCAUCACCAUCAUGGGAUCGCCGGCGGGUCUACCGGCGGCGGCGGCGCCGCGGCUGCCACGGCUGCUGCGACGGGCCCAACCGGACAGCAAACCGUCCUACCGGCAGCAUCGACCGGCAUUGUCGACACCACCACCGCCGCUGCUGCUGCUGCUGCUGCCGCUAACGUCGGCUCCAGCACGAAUUCGAAUCCGACCGCCGCUACCGCGACCGCGGCAGCUGUUGCGGCCGCGACGGCCGCAGCGACGGCCGCGGCGGCAGCCGCUGCGGUUGCGGUCACCACCUACAAGGAUUACAAGGACUACUCACAACCGCUCCACGUCGAUUGCAGCGUUGAGUAUGAGCUACCCAGCCAGGCAAAACCACCGCCUGGCGGAGGCGAACCCCUUCUCAUGAUACAUCCGUGCUACUACCGACGCGCCGAACGCGAAAGGAGAAGUCCUUUUGUCAACAAUUUACCACCGCCAGCGAACGCGCCGAUUUCAUCCUCUAGGCGAAGCAGCAGGCGAAGUGCAUCAGCCGCCGCAGUCGUUGCCAACGCGGCCACAGUCUCCGCGUCCGUGUCCUCCACUGCGUCUGUUGUCGCAUCCUCGUCCACGGUUGCCGCCGUUUCUACUUCGACCGUGUCAUCUUCGAGUUCUGCUGUCGCCGCUGCUGCGGCUGUCUUAUCGGCAACCGCAGCCGUUGUUUCAACAGCCGAUUCCGGAUCGAAUUUAGUUUCUACAACCGGUCAAAUGUCCGCUGCGGCCAUGGCAGCUUCGUAUCGUGCGGCUCUAAACGCCGCCGCGACGCUCUCCCAACAACAACAACAACAAAGACGUCAUCAUCCGCAGCAACAACAACCGCCGCAGCCGCCACCGCCGCAGCAACAGCAACAAACUCAUCAUCAUCAUCAUCGUCCUCACGCUCACCCCCAUCACGGUCAACAGCAACCGCAGCAGCAGCAGCAGCAGCAGCAAACUAGUUCGGUUACGUCGACCUCGUCCGGAACCGAACUGAUUUCUGCUGAUGAAAAAGCAGUCAUAUCAGGUAUUUAUCAGCACUACUUUCGCGCGAUGCGCGCUCACAAUCACCAGCAUCGGCAGCAGCAACAACCACAGCAGCAAGCGACACAGCAACAUCGAACGACUCAUCAACUUCAUCAUCAACCUCACCAAAGCGACCGAAGUUCCUCCUCGUCAGUGACGCCGACGGCCACGUCGAUCUCUGGCAUUCUACGGCAGACGUAUCAACAGACGUAUAACGCGAGUUCGAAUUCGUCGAGUCAUCUGCGAGCAGCGACGGCCUCGGUUGUCGGGCAUCACCCGUAUAGACGGCCGUCGGCGACGUUACUGUCACGUACAGCGUCACACGUUGGUCAGCAGGCUUCUUCCUCAUCUUCCUCGUCCUCUUCUUCCUCCUCGACGUCGAUCGGUGCUUCCAGUGGCGUUUCCUCUAGCGGCGUUUCCAGCGUAUACGCGAGUACGAUACACAGGCAUCACGCGACCUCGCUACACGCCCUCCAGGCAGCCGGUUUUUACGAAACGCCCGGUUAUCAUGCGCUUUUGCCGCAGAGUUAGGUGUCCACCGGCAUCGGCAGCAGCACCAACGUCAACCCGUUCGAGACCGACCCCGUUGCCACCACCGUUCAUUUAUUCACCUAAUCCGGCUGCAAAGCUGUGUGCUCUCUCUUCCCUAUUGUACGACUUAUCUUCCAUACUCGUUAAAGAGCAUACGGGUUGGUCUAAACUCUGCCUAGUACACUCGGGAUACAUCUAUCUCUGCGACGUACACGCUACUUCUAUCUACGUGUAUAUUCCACUGUAUAUACUGUGGAUCUGUAUGCAUACGUAUAUACGUCUAUGUACGUAUCGUCGUCGACGCAACGAUCGUACGUGCCGUGGUCUCCGUUGUUGGCAGCAGUGUGCGGGUGGCCGGACGAACGGACGAGCAGAAACCCACAGAAUAAACACACGACGCAUACACACCACCAUCACUACUAUCACCGUCACACACAGAUAUACGUUCGAGCCAGGGACAGAUGGAGGGAAGUACCAGCAACUGAAAUGGUCGUCCGUCUAUACGCAUCGAGCGAUUUCAUCCACCUGCGAUACGUGUACAUUAUGUUCAGGUAUAAAAAUCCAUUUGCUUAGGCCCUUUGUAUUUUUAACCGGCGCACACUUUCAGACAUAGAGAGAGACCGUGAGUUUUCUUCGCGUAAAUUCCUGAAACUCGGAUGUCUUUCUUCACCGGGCAAACAUCAUGUACACGCGGUCGUCUCUCGUUGUAUACCACCGCCGUAGCGGCGGCCCUUUCGCUCUUUUUCCCAUCAUCGACUCUCAAAUACCAGCGGAUCGCGAAUACAUAGAUCGACAAUAGUAUUUUUAAGAUUUACCACCGAUUCCCUCAUAUAUGUACUUAUAACAUUAGAUAUUUUUUCUAACGAUUUACGCGAUUCAUAGUUGGAACUUUCCUUGCCGAUAUUUUGCCAUCCUCUAAGCUUUACAACAUCCUCGCUUCAACCAUCUGUCUUCUCCGCUUACAGAUGUACCCAAACCGGAUCGACAAUCAUCGCAAUCGCAAGUGCCAAAACCCGAACGCAACCUCACGAACGAACGUUACCCAACAGGGUGCAAGCGCAUCUUUGCCAAAUAGACCAUAUGUACAGUACUAGUUUUUCUCGAUUCUGCUUUUCAUUUCGCGAUGCAAGCGCACACAGGAAACGGCGCCGCGAUUGCAGUUGUCCUGCUCUAGCGGAACGUUCCUCUCACCCUUUCUCCACCACGAAUCACUCUGUUCCCCGUCUUUCUCUAGCGUUAUUCGUUCCUCCGCGGCCGUCUCUUUGUCUUUUUCUCCUUCUCUGUCGGUUUCUCGUCGGGAACAUCUCUAGAAACUCGAGGUCCGAGCCGGGGCAGGAUUUCUUCUUUUUUGUCCUGCGCCCUUUUCAAAGAGCGCGCUCAAGGAGAAACGGACGGGGACCGUAUUUCGUUACACGGUAACGAUCGAUCAACGUGACCGCACGACCGCACCGGCGGUACGGGCGAGCCGUGGCGAAGCGAGACGAAGCGAGACGAGGCGAAACGAGACGACGAGUCGGGACGGGUCGGGACGGGACGAACGGGACGGGGACGGCACACGGGACGGGACGGAACGGAUCUGGGCGGUUACGGGACGAGAGGAGAAUGAGGGACGCGACCAGACCAGACGCGAAGGGGGCGCGGUCAAGAUGGGGAUCGGCAGAGACGAAACCGAGAGACGGCUCGCACGCAUCGGAGGGAGCAGGAUGCGUCGACUCGUACUCCGAAAACACCGACGACCAUGUGCAUAGGAUGGACAUUAGAUUAACAGUCGCUAAUGCGAACCUGUGCGACUCUGGCUCCUAUAAUUUCCACUCGUCGCGCCUCGCGGAGCCUUGGAAAAAUGACUAAAUGAGGAAAGUUUCGGGGAAAUUAGGUGGAAAGUUCUACUCCUGCGUUCUACUCUACCGAAAUAAAAAAAAAAAAAAUGAAAGUCACGGAAGGCACUUUGUUACGUUCGAUAACAGGAAACUAUAUAGUUUCUCAAUAGAUCUAAUAAAUCUCGUUUCGUAAAUUUGCGUCUAGCUCUCACCCUCGAAAUUAUAGCGUGUGGCUGACUUUAACGAUCUGUUUUCCCUACCGUUUUGCGGAAUUCGUUAAACUCCGUUCCUCGAAGGGUGCGCUGACAAGACUGCUCGCUGAACGUUUAUUUUUGUAGGAAAUGCGUACUUUUGUGCGACGUCUCUCCGAAAAGUGAUUCGAGGAAUUGAUUUGAAUAAAACGACGGAGGUAUACAUGAGGAUGGAGGGGAAAGUGCGCAUCGCGUUUCUAACGCGUACUGCGUUUGACGCGACACGUAUAGGGUUCGAUGUAGUUGAAUCAAAUAGACCAGGCGCAAUCGUAGCUUCUUCGUAUACAACCGGGUCGAUAGUAAAUACGUUUCCUAGUUAUAGAUCGGCCGCCCGCUCGUCAGAGGGUUAAACUUCAUCCACUGAUAGAUAUUUAUACGACGUGGAAGGAAGGAGGGCAUUAUUGUGCCUCGUUGAAACCCCCGUCGAACUCGUUAUAUAAUGUGACGUCGACAUCAGGUAAUUAGGAAGCGUCGCAAGCAGAAACGUUGGCUAGUGACUUUGAAAAGGUUUCACCGGCUCGUUUGUCGGUUUUCUAGCCGUCUUUUUCGCUCCUCUUCCACGGUCGGGUAGAGAAAAAAAAAUUCGUCGGAACGUUAUUUUUAAAUUUCACAUUACGUCCACGAAACUAUUCCUCGCGGAGCAUUCCACUUUCGUACGAUCCCCCGUUCCCCAGCAACGGAUUUUCACAACGUUCGUUUCGGCCUUGUAGCAUGUUAAAUCGACAUCGGGUACAAUGGUUCACGCAUCGAAUCCUGAUUCGAAUGUUGUUCCAAAUCGAAACACGGAGGCCACGUAGAAAUUUUCAGCUUCGUGUGUGUAGUCACUUCGUUCCUGGUAAAAUUUGUUGGCAGAGACGACCCGGUUGUCGAGAGCACAGUUCGUUCCUGGCACCACUUACCCUUCGCCGUCCAUCUCGGCCGAGCAUUUCCGCCCCGGUGUUUUUGCUCGUUCAAAGGGAACGAUCCUCUUAGCGGCAAAGUAGAGGGAAGGCUAAACGGAUACAGGGCCUAAAUAGAGUUACUUGGACUGUGGUCCGACGUAUCGUCGACGGUGGGAGCUUUUCGCGUUACUCUUUCUUCUGCUUCUCUGCAAAUUCCUAUAAAUCAACAUAUCUUGCAACAAAAUUCCAACCAUAUGUUUUAGUUAGUUAAAGUUGAACGAUCUGAUCGAAUAUUUAUAUAGACAAUUUUCUCAAAUGGCAUUAGAAUAUUGAAACGUUGAACAUCGACAGGUUAGAAAUAGCGUCCCUUUCUCUCCUUCCAUUGAAUUUCUCUAGCUUCUUCGUAAUCUGCCAUCAACCUGUAUAUACGUACAUAACUUCCUCUCGUCUCCUCCUAUUCAUCGUAUGUUUCGUUGUAUGUUCCAUCGUUUAUCGUGAACCGCUUACUAUGCAAAGGGUACGCUCGUAGAAUUCGAUUGUCGUCGGUCGGUGUGUCGAAAGAAGAAGAAAAAAAGGGGGCCUCGCGAACGAAGGAACGAACGAAACUCCGUUGGUCGGGGGGGCAUUGUAGCGUCGCAACGACGAGACACGGUCGAAUGUCAAGCAGAGCAGCGGCUGAUACGAUCGAGAGCUACGCCUUUAACUUUUCACCUCGCGCAUAUCAGAGAUCGACGCUUAAAAGUGCUUCGCCGUUGAUGAUUACGCGAUUCAUGAGAAACAUAUGCGAGUAAACUCUUGAACGGUGUUUCGUGUGCCAAACACAUUUUUCGUAACGUAUUCUGUCCCUCGUGUGCCUCUGCUGUUCAAUUAUUCCAAAAUCUUUACAUACUUCCGCCGAACGCUUGUACAAAUUUUUCUUUCCGUGUCAGUAUUACUCUUUACAUUUAUAUCAUCGUAACCCCAGGUGAAUUCACCGUUUACAUCGAUCAAGUAUUAUCGUUAUUACUAUCUGAGAAAAAACCUAGGAACAUUACGUAAGGGGAACGUCGAACGACUUUCCGGGCUGCGCGCAUCUUCUAGGGGAGAUAACGCGAUAGAGGCGCUCCUCUUCUCUCGCGGUUGUUGAAAGUUGCCAUCAGCUCGAUCUCUCUAGAUACGCGUGCACAACGUGCAUCGCCAGUCGCCCCCUUUUUUUUUUUUUGUGUUCGAUUUCACGAUUCUCCUCUUCUCACGGAACACACGGUUAUUCGUGGUUCUGUGGUGGCGAAAUCUCUUUCCGUUCCACUGAAAUUUCAUCCUCGGUCUCUCUAUUCUACCGUGUUGCGUUCAAUUAGGUUAGGAACGUUGCGAUCGAAGAUAUAUUUUCAAAGAGCAUCGUGCGUCCGCUGGUUCUACGUUAUAAAGAGCGAAUGUGAACGUACCCACCGAGACAGCCAGAGUACACACAAUCCCACACAACUCAACACGACGCGACACGUGUGUAACUCGAAGGAAAUAAUACACGGCAUGUGCGGUCGUUCCGGUAAUUUUUUUAUUUAACGUUGCAUUCAGUGAAUGCAUUUGUACACAGAACCGAUUAUUUUCUUCGUUCAGUGUUCCUUUCAGCCCUUUUCCUUCUCGUUUUUUUCUUUUGUUUCUCUCUCUUAUUUCUCCGUUCCCCUUUUAUUUUUUCUUUUUCUUUCGAUCGAUUCGCAAAAACAGAGUCUUCUUCUUCGGUUGUUUAUCGCGUUUGUAGUCGGCGAGAACAAGGCAUAUAUUUACUCUGUAAUAAAACGUGCUUCCUCCGUAAGCGGGUACGAGAAAAAGAAAAAAAGUCUGGCAUCAAAUAUUUUGUCCUACGUCGCGCGUAACGAACUAUACGUAAAAUAUACGGUCAAGCUUAUUCUCGAGAUACGUGUGCAUCGCGUCGUUUGAUGGAGAGAGAGAGAGAGAAAGAAAGAAUGAAAGAGAAAGAUGUAAAGAAGCGAAAGAAAUGAAAGAAAAAUAGAGAAUCUGUGCUCGAACGUGCCUCGCCCUCCACUAUAUACGAACGUACUUUUGUGCGUAUACAGUAGACGCGCACCGGAUAAAAGCUCGAUUCACGUUCGACGGACAACAAGGAAAGAGGAAACGAGAAAAAGAGGCCCGUUAAAGAUAAGAGAGCUCAAAGUAUGCCACUUUCGAUGGCGAGGGGCCCCGACGGGUCCCUGUUCCCAACGAGAAAAAGAGUAUUCACCAGCCGUUCGAAAUUAAAUUAAAUUGCCAGUAGAUUUUCGCAAGACAGCAGACCAGGGACACAAAGUGGUGCAUACUCCUCCUGGUUGUCCGUUCACCGUGAAUCAGCCACGAAGAAUGGCGUGGCGCGGCGCGGCUUAAACGCGUGCGUACACCUUCUCAAAAAACAUAGUUCACUACUAUUAACUCGGCCUUAAACAAAAUGACGUAAACUGCCUCAAAUAAUUAAUAUAUUAAACGAGCUAGCGCCCUCACUUACACUUCGACUGAAUGAAUAACGAAACGCCUAAUCCUGUGUAUAAUUAUGUAGUAUUAAAGAAAAAGGGGAUCGCGGCUGAGAUAAGUUGCUCGAUCGCGGCAUCCAGCGAGUAGAGUUACGCGAUCACGAGUCCGGCGGCAGAGAAAAACGAGCGAAACGAAGAAGAACGGGGGAUAUAUAGAUAACGAUCGAUCGGAAAGAGCGCGUAUAACGUGUGCGUUCAGCGAGAUGAAGGAGAAAGACGAAGAGAGAAAAAGAAGGGCACUGUGUGUAGCGCUUUCUUAAACGGAAACUAUUCGCGCAUUGCGAGCGAGCGUGUGUAUAAUAUGAUGUGCGAGCGGAUAGAUCGCUGAGGACAACUUAGAGAAAUGUGUCGAUCCAACUCGGUGACGUUAAGUCCUCAUUGAUCGAGAUUCAUUAAAAGGAAGGAAAAUCAUUUUUUCCAUUCUUCACUGUGAACCGAUAAUAGCAUAUGUGAACGAACACACAGACAGACAGACAGACACAUACACACACACACACACCACACACACCAUGUAUAUGAUACCUGAGCAAAGGAGAAAGGAAAAAGAAUAGGAAAAGAGAAUGUAGAAGGGCAGAAGAGGGGUACAGCAGAUCGUCGAGGUUGCUACGAAACAAACGAUGAGAUCUCGUUGUUCUCGUGGACGAGAUGAUUCAGAUAAGCGAGGAGACCACUCGAAGGUAGACAUGGUUAACAAAAAAGGACAUGGAAAAACGCGACCAAAAGAGACAUUUUGGUAAGACAUGACGAGAUUGAAACGAAGGUAGGGGAAGAAGCGAAACGACAAAAUAGAGACGAGAAAAAUUUGAUGGGGGAAAUCAAAAUCAUCGAUGUCCUCUCGGCUCCAUCUUUUAGAAACUGACAAUGACUACGGAGACGAUGACGAUUACGAUGACAAUGACGAUGACGGGAUGACUGGGUGUUUCGAAGGACGGUAGUUCUUCCGUUCAUGCGUUAUACGGGCUUGAAGAAUAUACACGACAAUAAGGAUCGUAGCCGGUCGAACACGAUCCAUACCCCGCGAGAGUUAAUCGAGAAACCGACGAACUCCUACGGCUUUUAUGGCUCCGCUCGUAAAGAUAUACCCAAGGCUUUUUCUGUGGAACUCUGGACCCCUCCGAACACCCGGUCCAGGAACACUGGGGCAGAAACGACGACGGAGCGUGUAGAUGGACGGGUGAACGAGCGAAUGAACGAGCGAGCGAACGAGCGAGCGAGCUAGCGAGCGAUCGGCUGGUUGGCCAGCCGAGACCCCGAAUUACAAUGUGCGCUCCUCGUGCGGGCCUCACCGUGGGUGGACCACCUUCUUGGCUCUACGUGAAUUUUUCUUAAAUCGUCUACCCCUCUCUCGAUGAAUGAUCUUUCUCCGACCAGGCCCAGAUCUUAGCCUUCGAGCAGGAACAGAGAGAGGUAGAGAGGACUGUGUGCUGUCAGCCGGCGAAUGAAAAGCACUUAAGAAGCUGCGCGGUAUGCACCUAACAAUGACCCUACCCACCUCUGACGCACGAAUUGUUCCUAUAUCAGAGUACACCAGCUGAUUCGGCAAAUAUAACGUACGCUAUUUUACGCUAUUCUUUGUACGCGCUUCAGCGCGUACUCGGUUUAUAUACGGGGGCACGGCUCGAUCUCAGUCGAGCACGCCACUCCUUCCUUACCCCUAUAAUUCGCUUCGAGUUACCGAAUCUUUUUCAAUCUCGAUCCAUCCAUCCUGCGAUACUCUUUCUUUCUCCCCAUCCUAUUCUACGAUACGUUCUAUCUCGUCUCUUUGUGAAUUUUUUGCACUCGCGAAUUCUCGAUAUUUCGAUCGCGUCGUUACAGCAAAAGCAAUAUCAUCGUCUCUGCAACCGAAUCGCUCGAAUCUCUCUGGUAUAUACGGUAGAGUUGUGUCGGAAACAUAGUCGUGCCAGGGGGUUGUUGCGGUCUUGCGAUAGUUGAACUCGAGGGGAGAUAGCGGCAUAAGCGAUAGAUAGAGCAUAACGCGCGCAAGAAAGAAAGAAUCAGAGGGUGGAGAGUCUCGAUCCUGGAAUGAGCACCGCGUGGCCAUAAAGAGGAGAGACACACGUCCAUGUGUCACGGACGUCAGGAUAUUAUAGGUUACUCUGUCUAUCUAUGGAUAGUUCGAACGAUUCGAAACGAUGGACCACGCCCUCGGUCUGCCAUCUCCGCUUCGACGAACUCUCGACGAUCGAUCCUUUACUCGCGACAAGCUGGCAAAAAUUACCACCGCAAAAGUCGAGCACGAAACGGGACAACUGAAUACGCCCCUGGAGCGACCCGAGGCCUGCCUCUCCGGCCAAUCGAUACCAUACCGUGUGCCUCUUCCGUUUGACAGCCUCCGCGACGUUUCUCCCUGUUAUUUCUCUCUUCCUUUUCCUAUUUUUACUACUUAUACCUUCUUCCUUUAUCCUUCUUUUUCAUCGUCAAGGACUGACAUUUUUCCUUUCCUCCUUCGAUUUUAAAGAAGGACGAAGGAAUGGGUUUCUAUCAAAUAGACGGCCGUGUCGCACUGGCUCGAUCGCAUUCCUUCGAAUAAAAAAAGGAGAAGAGAAAGAAAGGAAGAAAUGGCUCUCUUUAUCGCGAUACGGCUCAUCGACGUGGCGAACGAUCGAUUUGCCGGAGACAAAGUCUUUCUCUUUGCGCGGCCACGGUUGGACCCCACGUGCCGUUUGUUCGCUUCCUACGUUUCUCCGACUGUUUCCACCAAAAGCGUGUAACUUAACGAGCGAUUGUUCUCCUUCUAGUUCCUUGAUUUCGUGAUUAAUCGAAAGUUUCUGAUCGCUGAAGCCACUACGUACCGCGUGUCUGUUGGCUGGAGCGUUCGUUAGAGCCGGCGUGUGUGCGCGUGUAUGUUUACUUUGCUCGAUCGUUCGUUAAAAUUCGAGCCGAAGCGCCUGUUAUUUCUUCCCGUCAUGGUGUUGUGUGUAGGACUUUGGAGAGCUUUUACGAGGAACAGAGAGAGAGAGAGAGAGAGAGAGAGAGAGAGAAAGAGAGAAUGUAUGAGUGUGAGUAAAAUGUAUACAUGUGUGCGCCGAGCGUCUACCUUUUGCUAAACGCGCCACGUGUGUCGCCUUGUUUAUCCAUCGCCGCCAUUGCCGUCGUAGACGCGCUCGGCGUUUGACGAUCCUCUCCUCGGUUCUCAAACGACUACGGGAUCUUCGUUUUCUGGGGGGUAAAGCUAGCUAACCAACUACUACUGUAUUAUCAGUAAAAAGAAAAUGAAAAAAAAACAGAACAUACCUACGCAUUUAAGAUAAUGUACAAGUCUCUAGUGUGAUACAUUUCUACGCUUAUUCUCUUAACUGUAGUCAUGAAGUCUAAAGUAACGAUACCUCGUUGUGGUUUGUAACGCGGACUAAAAAGCAAAAAAAAUAAAAAUAAAAAUACAAGUAACAAGUAGUUCUGUAACAGUAAAUAAAUGAUAAAAAAAAUUGCAGGCUAAAGAUUAAAAAAGACGAGUUACGUAAAGAAGAAAAAAGUAAUGAAAUAACGACAGUAAAUGAUCAAAAAAAUCCGCUUAGGUUGAUCUUAGACUGAGAAAAAGGAAAUCAAGCGAUAAAAAGCUCGAAAAAGGCGCCAGUGUACUCGUAGAAAGGAAUUGUCCGGCGGCCGACGUCCUAAUUAACCGCAACACUUGAAAUUGUAAACGACCGCCAAAAGAAAUACCGUUGGGCUUAUAAAAACACAGGAUAAUAAAAGAAAGAAAAUCCAGAGCGCGAGAGAGAGAGAAAGAGAGAGAGAGAAAGAGAUUUGCGGAUCCAAGAAAUGGAUGAGAUGGAUGUGUGGAUCCGAGUGAAUAGAUGGCUAUUUCAAAAAAAAAAAAAAAAAAAAAAAAACGUGUGGGUCGACCGAUUCGUCAAAUGUAUGCAUGUGUGAGAUUACGCGCAGAGUAUUCGAGGACGUACUGUUCGGCAUGUACAUAAUUCUGUAUAUACGAACGAAUCACUGACUGUACAAUACCACCCAAAUAUAUUUAUAUUUCAUGUUAAAACAA